GACGAACGCUGGCGGCGUGCCUAAUACAUGCAAGUAGAACGCUGAAGGAGGAGCUUGCUCUUCUGGAUGAGUUGCGAACGGGUGAGUAACGCGUAGGUAACCUGCCUGGUAGCGGGGGAUAACUAUUGGAAACGAUAGCUAAUACCGCAUAAGAGUAGAUGUUGCAUGACAUUUACUUAAAAGGUGCAAUUGCAUCACUACCAGAUGGACCUGCGUUGUAUUAGCUAGUUGGUGGGGUAACGGCUUACCAAGGCGACGAUACAUAGCCGACCUGAGAGGGUGAUCGGCCACACUGGGACUGAGACACGGCCCAGACUCCUACGGGAGGCAGCAGUAGGGAAUCUUCGGCAAUGGACGGAAGUCUGACCGAGCAACGCCGCGGGAGUGAAGAAGGGUUUCGGAUCGUAAAGCUCUGUUGUAAGAGAAGAACGAGUGUGAGAGUGGAAAGUUCACACUGUGACGGUAUCUUACCAGAAAGGGACGGCUAACUACGUG
rnacentral:rRNA from 1 species